rnacentral:rRNA from 1 species
GGCACGCCUAAUACAUGCAAGUCGAACGAAGUAGCAAUACUUAGUGGCAGACGGGUGAGUAACAUGUAGGUAUCUGCCCUUUGGCCUGGAAUAACACGAGGAAACUUGUGCUAAUACUGGAUAAGUCUUUACGGAGAAAGCUUUAUGCACCAUUGGAUGAGCCUGCACUUGAUUAGUUUGUUGGUGGGGUAAUGGCCUACCAAGACAAUGAUCAAUAGCUGAUUUGAGAGGAUGAUCAGCCACAUUGGGACUGAGACACGGCCCAAACUCCUACGGGAGGCAGCAGUAGGGAAUCUUGCACAAUGGAGGAAACUCUGAUGCAGCGAUGCCGCGUGAGUGAAGAAGGCCCUUGGGUUGUAAAGCUCUUUCGUCGGGGAAGAAAAUGACUGUACCCGAAUAAGAAGGUCCGGCUAACUUCGUGCCAGCAGCCGCGGUAAUACGAAGGGACCUAGCGUAGUUCGGAAUUACUGGGCUUAAAGAGUUCGUAGGUGGUUAAAAAAGUUGGUGGUGAAAUCCCAGAGCUUAACUCUGGAACUGCCAUCAAAACUUUUUAGCUAGAGUAUGAUAGAGGAAAGCAGAAUUUCUAGUGUAGAGGUGAAAUUCGUAGAUAUUAGAAAGAAUACCGAUUGCGAAGGCAGCUUUCUGGAUCAUUACUGACACUGAGGAACGAAAGCAUGGGUAGCGAAGAGGAUUAGAUACCCUCGUAGUCCAUGCCGUAAACGAUGUGUGUUAGACGUUGGAAAUUUAUUUUCAGUGUCGCAGCGAAAGCGAUAAACACACCGCCUGGGGAGU